CAAAAGCUGUCAUAAACAGUGUGGAAAUGCCCUGGAGAAUUGCCUCCCAACAUUCUGUGGGUAUGACAGAGGCAGAUGGAGAAUGUGAGAGAAUGACUUCUUAUUACAAGAAGUAAUAAGAAAAUUCCCUCCAGUGUGUGAAUAGAAGCUUCAUGUCCCCAAGAGGAUUUGCACUUGAAAAGAGAUUUAAAAACAAAGCACAGAUCCCACACAAACAAAGCUAUACAAGGUGAAAUUCCAGAAAGUGUGAUUAAGUGAGGAGAUUUUCCAAAGUAGGGAAGAUACUUGGGGGCAACAGGAACUUUCCACAGGAGGCUCCCAGUUGACACACCAGUCUAUCUCCUA